rnacentral:rRNA from 1 species
CCUACGGGUGGCAGCAGUGAGGAAUAUUGGUCAAUGGGCGCGAGCCUGAACCAGCCAAGUAGCGUGAAGGAUGACUGCCCUACGGGUUGUAAACUUCUUUUAUAAAGGAAUAAAGUGAGGUAUGUGUGCCUUUUUGCAUGUACUUUAUGAAUAAGGAUCGGCUAACUCCGUGCCAGCAGCCGCGGUAAUACGGAGGAUCCGAGCGUUAUCCGGAUUUAUUGGGUUUAAAGGGAGCGUAGAUGGGUUGUUAAGUCAGUUGUGAAAGUUUGCUGCUCAACCGUAAAAUUGAAAUUGAUACUGGCAAUCUUGAGUACAAUUAAGGUCAGCGGAAUUCGUGGUGUAGCGGUUGAAUGCUUAGA